GGCGCGAGCAGGUGCGAAAGCAGGUCAUAGUGAUCCGGUGGUUCUGAAUGGAAGGGCCAUCGCUCAACGGAUAAAAGGUACUCCGGGGAUAACAGGCUGAUACCGCCCAAGAGUUCAUAUCGACGGCGGUGUUUGGCACCUCGAUGUCGGCUCAUCACAUCCUGGGGCUGAAGUAGGUCCCAAGGGUAUGGCUGUUCGCCAUUUAAAGUGGUACGCGAGCUGGGUUUAGAACGUCGUGAGACAGUUCGGUCCCUAUCUGCCGUGGGCGCUGGAGAAUUGAGGGGGGCUGCUCCUAGUACGAGAGGACCGGAGUGGACGCAUCACUGGUGUUCGGGUUGUCAUGCCAAUGGCACUGCCCGGUAGCUAAAUGCGGAAGAGAUAAGUGCUGAAAGCAUCUAAGCACGAAACUUGCCCCGAGAUGAGUUCUCCCUGAGACUUUAAGUCUCCUGAAGGAACGUUGAAGACGACGACGUUGAUAGGCCGGGUGUGUAAGCGCAGCGAUGCGUUGAGCUAACCGGUACUAAUGAACCGUGAGGCUUAACCUU
rnacentral:rRNA from 1 species